rnacentral:sRNA from 1 species
AACAUUUUAUUUAACAUUUCAUGAAGACGGACUACAUGUAUUUGCGUGGUCAUGUAAAUAUUUUCUGAACCUGUAAAGCUAGGAAGCUCUUGGAAAUGCAUCGUCGGCUGCGCAAUCCACUGCUUAAAGUGGUCCUUGUUUGUCGUGUGUCCGUCAAAUUUAACAUCCGGGAUCUGGACCGUGCCCCGGGGCUCCAUCCUUCUGAACUCGGGCUGGGCUUGUUUGGCCGUGAACUCCUGAUUGUACGACGUCAUCUUUUCGAUGGGAACGUUGAGGGGGUUCCUGCAAUUCCUUAGCAUCAAAGAGUACAACACUAAGCAAUGAAUUAUACCGGGAUUAUUGGCUUGGUCCGUGAGACUGCACCAGGUGACUUGAAGUCAUCCCUCUGGUUCGUGGAGAACAUCAUCGGGGCCGAGUGUCGAUCCCUGACCGUGGGGGAGGGAGGGGGCCUCUUACUUGACCGGGGCCGAGGGUGCUCCACGGCCUUGAAGGUGCGGGCGUAAUCUGACUCCGGAAAAGGACAGGACUUUCGGGGAAUCGGGACAUUUUGCUUCCUUCGCUUGUGUUUUCUGUGUAUUUCAAAAGCAGCAAGUUUUAAUACCCAGUAUCAAUGUAAUUGAAUAAACAUGUAGUUCUGCAAUAAAAUAUAAUGUAUGCCC